rnacentral:rRNA from 1 species
UACAGAGGAGCCAAGCGUUGUCCGGAUUGACUGGGCGUAAAGCGCACGCAGGCGGAUGCGCGCGUGGGGUGUGAAAUCUGGCCGCUUAACGGCCAGGCGCCAUCCCAUACGGCGCGUCUGGAGCCUUGCAGAGGUCGGUGGAAUUGCCGGUGUAGUGGUGAAAUGCGUAGAUAUCGGGAGGAACACCAGUGGCGAAGGCGGCUUCCUGGCCUGUUCUUGACGCUGAGGCGCGAAAGCUAGGGGAGCAAACAGGG